GCCUCUAUAGCUGAAUGGUAAAGCUGCUCCCUCUUAAGGAGAAGAUUCUAAGUUCGAUUCUUAGUGGAGGUA
rnacentral:tRNA from 1 species